AUGCCCUCAGAUUCAGAUCCAUCAACAACCCCUGACAACAUGGAGGACUCACGAGCCCGGCUGUGACAAGCUGAGCUCGUCUGUUAGCUUUGCUGUUGUCUUAGCUGUUGUUGGUCAAGAAGAAAUUAAUGUCAGUUCAAGGCCUUUUCAAAUGUGAGCUAUAAACUAAGACAGUCAUGUCAGCUUUUUAAAAUGUUUAUUUAAACAUUUUAUGAAAAAAAUCUUCAAUAAACAACCCCUGGCUUCAUU